CACAUUCGAUAUGUCAUAACGACUCCCGGCAACGGAUAUCUCGGCUCUCGCAUCGAUGAAGAACGUAGCGAAAUGCGAUACAUGGUGUGAAUUGCAGGAUCCCGUGAACCAUCGAGUUUUUGAACGCAAGUUGCGCCCGAAGCCGUUAGGCUAA
rnacentral:rRNA from 1 species